rnacentral:SRP_RNA from 1 species
UGGCGGGUCCCCUCGCAUGCUGUCCCCAGGAACCUGGUCAGGUCGGGAACGAAGCAGCCAUACUGGUCAGUAGCAGUGCCGAGGACAAGGCUCGCCAUUUU